rnacentral:rRNA from 1 species
AUUGAACGCUGGCGGCAUGCCUUACACAUGCAAGUCGAACGGUAACGCGGGGCAACCUGGCGACGAGUGGCGAACGGGUGAGUAAUGUAUCGGAACGUGCCCAGUUGUGGGGGAUAACUGCUCGAAAGAGCAGCUAAUACCGCAUACGACCUGAGGGUGAAAGCGGGGGAUCGCAAGACCUCGUGCAAUUGGAGCGGCCGAUAUCAGAUUAGGUAGUUGGUGGGGUAAAGGCCCACCAAGCCAACGAUCUGUAGCUGGUCUGAGAGGACGACCAGCCACACUGGGACGGAGACACGGCCCAGACGCCUACGGGAGGCAGCAGUGGGGAAUUUUGGCCAAUGGACGCAAGUCUGAUCCAGCCAUGCCGGGUGCGGGAGGAAGGCCUUCGGGUUGUAAACCGCUUUUGUCAGGGAAGAAACGCUCUGGGUUAAUACCUCGGGGUAAUGACGGUACUUGAAGAAUAAGCACCGGCUAACUACGUGCCAGCCGCCGCGGUAACAC